rnacentral:rRNA from 1 species
GACGAACGCUGGCGGCGUGCCUAAUACAUGCAAGUCGAGCGGACCGGAUUGGGGCUUGCCUUGAUUCGGUCAGCGGCGGACGGGUGAGUAACACGUGGGCAACCUGCCCGCAAGACCGGGAUAACUCCGGGAAACCGGAGCUAAUACCGGAUAACACCGAAGACCGCAUGGUCUUCGGUUGAAAGGCGGCCUUUGGGCUGUCACUUGCGGAUGGGCCCGCGGCGCAUUAGCUAGUUGGUGAGGUAACGGCUCACCAAGGCGACGAUGCGUAGCCGGCCUGAGAGGGUGACCGGCCACACUGGGACUGGGACACGGCCCAGACUCCUACGGGAGGCAGCAGUAGGGAAUCUUCCGCAAUGGGCGAAAGCCUGACGGAGCGACGCCGCGUGAGCGAAGAAGGCCUUCGGGUCGUAAAGCUCUGUUGUGAGGGACGAAGGAGCGUCGUUCGAAGAGGGCGGCGCGGUGACGGUACCUCACGAGAAAGCCCCGGCUAACUACGUG